rnacentral:rRNA from 1 species
GACGAACGCUGGCGGCGUGCUUAACACAUGCAAGUCGAACGGAAAGGCCCUGCUUUUGUGGGGUGCUCGAGUGGCGAACGGGUGAGUAACACGUGAGUAACCUGCCCUUGACUUUGGGAUAACCUCAGGAAACAGGGGCUAAUACCGGAUAGGAGCUCCUGCUGCAUGGUGGGGGUUGGAAAGUUUCGGCGGUUGGGGAUGGACUCGCGGCUUAUCAGCUUGUUGGUGGGGUAGUGGCUUACCAAGGCUUUGACGGGUAGCCGGCCUGAGAGGGUGACCGGCCACAUUGGGACUGAGAUACGGCCCAGACUCCUACGGGAGGCAGCAGUGGGGAAUAUUGCACAAUGGGCGGAAGCCUGAUGCAGCAACGCCGCGUGCGGGAUGACGGCCUUCGGGUUGUAAACCGCUUUCGCCUGUGACGAAGCGUGAGUGACGGUAAUGGGUAAAGAAGCACCGGCUAACUACGUG